rnacentral:tRNA from 1 species
GCGGGGGUUCCGUAGCUUGGUCAAUCCCUGAACGGCAUUCAACGGGGGGGACUUAAGAUCCCCUGGCCUAGCGCCUUCGCAGGUUCAAACCGGGCUUUCUUUAAAAAGAAAGCACGGGUGCAAAGAAACUCCGGCUUCCGCCAUGAUGCCGGCGAGAAUCCUGCCCCCCGCACCA